rnacentral:misc_RNA from 1 species
AAACAAAAUGGUAACACAGGGAUUACUUCUGGGUCUGUUUCCCCUGGAGAAGCAGUGGAUGAUGGUAGUGUAAGUGAGAAUGGAAAUGCAAAUAUUAGCCCCCAAAAGGAGGUUUCUACUGGUGAAAAUCUGUUGAGAUUGGAAGAUUACAAAAGACAAACUGAAUCACUAGUACAAAGGUUUAAUAGUUCUCACUUUUUCGCUCGGAUUGCCGAGUCAGAUGAGCCUCUAUGGUCGAAAAGAAAAGCUAUGGAGGAAGUAUCUGAUAUGAUUGGAGCAGAUGACUCAGACACAGUGAAGACACUUAAAAAGAAGCUGUCUCUGAGUGCUUCCACUGAUAAGGGAAACUUUGAUGCUAGAACCUCUGGUGGAGUGGCAAGAAAUGCUGUCAAGUGUUGUGCCCUUUCAAAUGGAGAUAUAGUGGUACUUUUACAAGUAAAUGUCGGUAUUGAGUUUGUGAGAGAUCCCGUGCUUGAAAUUCUUCAAUUUGAGAAGUAUCACGAGAGAAGUUUGUCGUCUUUGAAUGAGGAUAAUUUGACUUAUGCAAAUCAGGAUCCCUGUGGUGAACUGCUGAAAUGGCUACUUCCUAUAGAUAAUUCUAUUCCUCCUUCCGCACGACCUUUAUCCCCGCCUCAAUUAAGUUCCAGUGCGAGCAUUCGUAGCACAUCCACGAAGCCCAUCGUAUCUGGAUCUUCUGGAUCACAACUCUUUUCUUUCGGUAACUUUAGAAGUUACUCCAUGUCUUCACUUCCACCAAAUAGUGCGCCACCUCCAUCUGUUACAACCUCCACCACUGGACCAAGUUUUAAUCCAGAAGAUUGGGAACGCUUUUCAUUUCAAAGGUCAGUGAAGAGUGAAAAGAUCGGGAGUGAAGGACUUUUAUCUUUUAGAGGUGUAUCUCUUGAGCCAGAAAGAUUCUCGGUUCGUUGUGGUUUAGAAGGUAUUUUCAUCCCUGGAAGAAGAUGGAGGAGGAAAAUUGAAAUAAUUCAACCAGUAGAAA